rnacentral:rRNA from 1 species
CAAUAGCGUAUAUUAAAGUUGUUGCAGUUAAAAAGCUCGUAGUUGGAUUUGUGGCGUACGGUGUGUUCCGGGCACUUGUUGUCUGAGUAACCUGCUGUUGCCAUCCUUGGGUGGAACCUGUGUGGCAUUAGGUUGUCGUGCAGGGGAUGCCCAUCAUUUACUGUGAAAAAAUUAGAGUGUUCAAAGCAGGCUUAUGCCGUUGAAUAUAUUAGCAUGGAAUAAUGAGAUAGGACUUUUUUGCUAUUUUGUUGGUUUGCGCAAAGAGGUAAUGAUUAAUAGGGACAGUUGGGGAUAUUCGUAUUCCAUUGUCAGAGGUGAAAUUCUUGGAUUUUUGGAAGACGAACUACUGCGAAAGCAUUUACCAAGGAUGUUUCCAUUAA